GACGAACGCUGGCGGCGUGCCUAAUACAUGCAAGUAGAACGCUGAAGAGAGGAGCUUGCUCUUCUUGGAUGAGUUGCGAACGGGUGAGUAACGCGUAGGUAACCUGCCUUGUAGCGGGGGAUAACUAUUGGAAACGAUAGCUAAUACCGCAUAACAAUGGAUGACCCAUGUCAUUUAUUUGAAAGGGGCAAAUGCUCCACUACAAGAUGGACCUGCGUUGUAUUAGCUAGUAGGUGAGGUAACGGCUCACCUAGGCGACGAUACAUAGCCGACCUGAGAGGGUGAUCGGCCACACUGGGACUGAGACACGGCCCAGACUCCUACGGGAGGCAGCAGUAGGGAAUCUUCGGCAAUGGGGGCAACCCUGACCGAGCAACGCCGCGUGAGUGAAGAAGGUUUUCGGAUCGUAAAGCUCUGUUGUAAGUCAAGAACGAGUGUGAGAGUGGAAAGUUCACACUGUGACGGUAGCUAACCAGAAAGGGACGGCUAACUACGUG
rnacentral:rRNA from 1 species